rnacentral:rRNA from 1 species
UACGUAGGUGGCAAGCGUGUCCGGAUUUAUUGGGUUUAAAGGGUGCGUAGGCGGCCCUGUAAGUCAGUGCUGAAAUCCCCCGGCUUAACCGGGGUGGUGGCAUUGAUACUGCAGGGCUUGAGUACAGAUGAGGUAGGCGGAAUUGACGGUGUAGCGGUGAAAUGCAUAGAUAUCGUCAAGAACACCGAUAGCGAAGGCAGCUUACUGGGCUGUAACUGACGCUGAUGCACGAAAGUGUGGGGAUCAAACAGG